rnacentral:rRNA from 1 species
AUACGAAGGUGGCAAGCGUUGUUCGGAAUCACUGGGCUUAAAGCGCACACAGGCGGAACAGAAAGUGUCUUGUGAAAGCCCCCGGCUUAACCGGGGAAUUGCUUGGCAAACUUCUGUUCUUGAGGCAAGUAGAGGUACAUGGAACUCUUGGUGGAGCGGUGGAAUGCGUAGAUAUCAAGAGGAACGCCAAUGGUGAAGACAGUGUACUGGGCUUGUCCUGACGCUGAGGUGCGAAAGCGUGGGGAGCGAACGGGAUUAGAAACCCCGGUAGUCC